rnacentral:rRNA from 1 species
GAGGGAAAGUUGAAAAGAACUUUGAAGAGAGAGUUCAACAGUACGUGAAACCGUUUAUAGGUAAACGGAUGGGACCGCAGUUCGCACCCCGCGGAAUUCAACUCUGCCGGUGUCGGUCUGGGGGGAAGCCCGAUCCGCAAGGACGGGCCCCUCUCAGAGCCGGCUUCGGCGGGGCGCACUUUCCGCGGGCGGGGUCAGGACGGAUUCGCCGGCGGCGAUAGAGGGACGGACCAAGGUAGCCACCCUUCCGAGGGUGGUGCUUAGGGACUGACCCAGGCGGCCGCGCUGGCGGAUCGAGGACGUGCCCGCCGUGGCACGGGCCCCUCGCCCUCUUCUCCGGUUCGACUUGCGUGGACUGUUCGCAGUGCUCGCUGACUGCCGGGGUUCUGUGGUGGGGACCUCCCGUGUCGACCCAGGGUCACUGGCCGGAUCGUCGGAACCCCAUCCGACCCGUCUUGAAACACGGACCAAGGAGUCUAACAUGUGCGCGAGUCAUGGGGUGGCAAACCCAAAGGCACAAUGAAAGUGAAGGGCGGUUCACGCCGUCUUGGGUAGGAUCCCCCGCAAGGGGGCGCACUACCGGCCCGUCUCGAUCUCGAUGAGAUGAGGCGGAGCAAGAGCGUACACGUUGGGACCCCA